AUAACAAUAGAAAAUAAAUAAAAAAAUACUUACUUGUAUUCUUCUUCAGCCUUGACGUUUUGCAAGUGAGGUUUGAGCAAAUUUUAGAGAAAGUGAUGGAAGGAAAAGGGGGACCGAAGAAGAUGGAUGAUGGAGAAGAACAAAUUAGUGUGGAACUGAAUAGGGUUGCUAUGUUAAGUAUUAACCAACGCAGGAGAGAGAGUGGGAGUCACACAUGCAUGGAAAACAUCAAUGACUGUGACGGGAGUCUUAUACACUUGAAUAUAAAAUUGAUUUAUUUAAUUAGCUUAGGUGUCAAAUUAAUUAGCUACUCUUUAAUCAGUUAGUAGUUUGUUAUAAUUUUAGUGCAGUCAGUUAUUUAACAUGUGAAAUGUAGUUGUGUGUGGCUGAGAUAUAAGGAAAGUGCACUUUUAUAGUUAGUUAGGUUUUCUCAUUUUUUUCCUUUUAGCUCAAAUAAGAAGUUCCAUCUUCUUCCCUCGACUUUCUUCAGUUUUCUCCAAUUCAAUUGAACAUUCUCUCUGCCAAAUUUCUCUAUAACUUGCAGAUUGCUCAGAUAACAAAUUUGUACAUGAUGCGGUGAGUAUGAAAGCAAUCAAGCACAGAUAGCAGAAUUGAAGAAACGUUGAAAGGAGUUUCCUGAUCCGUAAUCCUUUUCUUCAAUCUACCUCCGUUCUUUUAAAAUUUCUUCUCUCUCUUUCUUUAUGUCCCCUUCUAUGAGACUUGCACAAUAGAGAUUGAUGAGAUUUUGUUCGCUUCACUGAAUUUUAUACAAGUGGAAGUGGCGUUUUUUAUCAACGAGUCUCAAAGAAGAAGUUCUGACUCUUUGCUGCUCUUAGAUUCAUUGAUUCCUCCUAAUGGAAGAUCAUUCAUUGAGAAAUCGGACUUCAAAAGGUGGCUCUAACAAUCAGAGCGGCUCAAUGAAAAUGGAUGUGAAUGCUUUGGCACAUCUUCUGAAUCAGCUGUCAAAUCUUCAAGCUCAAAUGGCGUGAAGCAAUAUGAGUUUGACUCAAGAUCCUUCCAGUCCCUACUUCAUUCAUCCUAGAGAAAAUUCAGAGAGUGUGACCUGGAGCAAUGUUGCUUUCAAUUUGUGGGACGAUUUGAGACAUCGAUACUAUAGAGGUGAUAGGUUCAGGAUUGUGGAAUUGCAAGAAGAACUAUUCGUUGCAAAGCAAGGGGAUCUAAAUGUGACGGCCUAUUUUACCAAAUUGAAACACAUUUGGGAAGAAGUCAACAAUUUUUGACAGAUUCCGGGCUGUGUAAUGUGUUCUGAGAGAUGUGCUUGUAGAUUAACAAAAAUAAGAGAGUUCAGAGAUGAGGAUUAAGUCACAAGACUCCUAAGAGGACUGAAUGAGCAGUACUCAACCGUGAGGUCACAAUAAUGCUAAUGACACCCUUGCCUAAUGUAAACCAAUAAGUGUUCUCAAUGUUACAAGAUACUGUUUAAUUCAGCUCAGAGCAAGAAUUCCCCUCAAAUGCAAGACUCCUUUGUUGGUCAAGACAGAGGAAGAGGCCAUGGGAGAAUCACUUCAGCAGGCAGAGAAAGAGGUGCAAAGAUGAUGUGCUCAUAUUGCGGAAAGGAAGGGCAUACUGAGGACGCUGUUACAAGAAACAUGGAUAUCCUCCAAAUCUGAAACCACGGCAACAGUACAGUGCUCACACAAACCACAUAUUCACUGAAGAGAAUGAUGAAGAUUUCAGUGAUAAGCAGACUCAGUCUACUUGUCACCAAGAAGUCAGUGGCACACAUAGUUCUGAAUUUACUCUAGAGCAUAGAUUAGCAUUGCUAGACCUUCUCAAAGGAAAAGGUGUUCAGCAGCAACCUCAUAAUGCAAAAUAGGUUUUAACAAAUUCUGUGCAAACCCCUAGCCAAGGUAAAACUAUUUUACUGCAAUUUAGCUCAAAAAUCAUGAGUUUAUGAAGCCAAAAUCAACAAAUUGGGUCAUUGAUUCAGGUGCCACCGAUCAUGUCACCUUCAAUUUAAAGGAUUUUUAAACCUUUCAAAAGAUAGAACCUAUAACAGUGAAAAUGUCCAAUGGCAUUGAAACAAUAAGUGACACUAUUAGAACUGUUGUAUUCA